CCAGACGGCCGGAUGGCCGCCGUCGCCGCCUCAGGCGCGCGGCGGAGGAAAGUCCGGGCUCCACGGAAGCACGGAGCCGGGUAACACCCGGCGGGGGCGACCCCAGGGAAAGUGCCACAGAGAGCAGACCGCUCGCCCCGGGCCGCGAGGCUGGCGAGCAAGGGUGAAAGGGUGCGGUAAGAGCGCACCGCGCACCCGGUAACGGGGGCGGCAUGGCAAACCCCUUCGGGAGCAAGACCAAGUAGGGGCGGCACAGGGGGCGGUCGCAAGGCCGUUUCCGGGUUGGUUUCCGGGCCCGCCGCCCGGGUCGGUCGCGCGAGGCGCCCGGUGACGGGCGUCCCAGAUGAAUGGCCAUCGCGCGGGCCCGCGUGGCCCGCGACAGAACCCGGCUUACAGGCCGUCUGGCGCU
rnacentral:RNase_P_RNA from 1 species